rnacentral:piRNA from 1 species
UAAUGGAGCUAUAAGACAGUUAAGCUGCGUU